UGGGCGGUCGAUGGUAGUCCCCCUGCAUACGACACGAAUUGGGCAACAUCUUCCAGAUCCGAAUUAUGCACCAGAGCCGGAGCCACAGCAGGAGUCAGAGCUGGAACUACACUCUAGAGGUAGUUCUUAUCAUCCAAAUUUAGGGGGCGAUGACUAUUUCUCGGGCUCCUCAGGCUACGAAUAUCAUUCAGAGUUUGAUAUCUUCAGCCCACUACCACCUCAGUACUCCAGUCAUCCCGGCUCAUAUUUAUCUCAGUACUCUACUCCUUCC
rnacentral:lncRNA from 1 species